UGGGGAAUUUUGGACAAUGGGCGAAAGCCUGAUCCAGCAAUGCCGCGUGUGUGAAGAAGGCCUUCGGGUUGUAAAGCACUUUUGUCCGGAAAGAAAUCCUUGGCUCUAAUACAGUCGGGGGAUGACGGUACCGGAAGAAUAAGCACCGGCUAACUACGUGCCAGCAGCCGCGGUAAUACGUAGGGUGCAAGCGUUAAUCGGAAUUACUGGGCGUAAAGCGUGCGCAGGCGGUUUGCUAAGACCGAUGUGAAAUCCCCGGGCUCAACCUGGGAACUGCAUUGGUGACUGGCAGGCUAGAGUAUGGCAGAGGGGGGUAGAAUUCCACGUGUAGCAGUGAAAUGCGUAGAGAUGUGGAGGAAUACCGAUGGCGAAGGCAGCCCCCUGGGCCAAUACUGACGCUCAUGCACGAAAGCGUGGGGAGCAAACAGGAUUAGAUACCCUGGUAGUCCACGCCCUAAACGAUGUCAACUAGUCGUUGGGGAUUCAUUUCCUUAGUAACGUAGCUAACGCGUGAAGUUGACCGCCUGGGGAGUACGGUCGCAAGAUUAAAACUCAAAGGAAUUGACGGGGUCAUAGCUGUUUCCU
rnacentral:rRNA from 1 species